rnacentral:misc_RNA from 1 species
AGAUCAUUCAAGAUCUGAAUCAAUUUUAUCUUCAAUAUUCUCUAACUAAUUUCUCUCUUCUCUAUUUCUUUUAUUCUGUUCUGUAACCGUCAACUUAGGGUUCCUACCCUAACACAAACAUGGUCAUAACUUCUUGUUUUGGAAAAAGAAGGCAUCAAACUAUGGUAUUUGCAAAUUUGUUAUCUCUUAUGAAAAUGCUUAAAAUGAUUUUUGAGAUGCAGUUUGCAAAACAAUAUUGUUUGGUGGCCCGUGGCACUUAGUAGAGACCCUAUCAUUAAAAGAGGCUUAGGUCUGGACUAAACAUUAGCAUUGUAUGCACCUAGAUCCAUUUGAUAUUAUUGGAAUAAAAUAAGUUACUUAUGAAUCAAAUUGAUAAAAUCAAAAGUAUGGGGUACAAUUGAAAAACAAUGAAAAAUUGGGGAUAUAGUUGAUCAUUAGCAGCGUGCGCGCGCGCGCACACACA